UACAGAGGUCUCAAGCGUUGUUCGGAUUCAUUGGGCGUAAAGGGUGCGUAGGCGGCGCGGUAAGUCGGGUGUGAAAUCUCGGAGCUUAACUCCGAAAUUGCAUUCGAUACUGCCGUGCUUGAGGACUGGAGAGGAGACUGGAAUUUACGGUGUAGCGGUGAAAUGCGUAGAUAUCGUAAGGAAGACCAGUGGCGAAGGCGGGUCUCUGGACAGUUCCUGACGCUGAGGCACGAAGGCCAGGGGGAGCAAACGGGG
rnacentral:rRNA from 1 species